UACGAAGGGGGCUAGCGUUGCUCGGAAUCACUGGGCGUAAAGGGCGCGUAGGCGGCUGUUCAAGUCGGGGGUGAAAGCCUGUGGCUCAACCACAGAAUUGCCUUCGAUACUGGACGGCUCGAGACCGGAAGAGGUCAGUGGAACUGCGAGUGUAGAGGUGAAAUUCGUAGAUAUUCGCAAGAACACCAGUGGCGAAGGCGGCUGACUGGUCCGGUUCUGACGCUGAGGCGCGAAAGCGUGGGGAGCAAACAGG
rnacentral:rRNA from 1 species